CCUGCCCAGUGUAUAUUUUAUAAACGGCCGUUUGUACGCUAAGGUAGCACAAUCAAUUGUUCCUUAAUUGGGGACUGGAAUGAAGGGGUAAAUAUAUGUAUACUUUCUUACUACGAUUUAUAAAAAUUAAACUUCUUAUGAAAAUGUAAGAAUCAAAUUUAAAGACCAAAAGACCCUAAUGAGCUUAAAUUUAGGGGUUAUAAAGCUUAAUAAAUUUUUAUUGGGGGGGUAAAGAAUAUACAUUCUUUGUUAUAAAUUAAAACUUUUGAAAUAAAGGUAAAGUUACCAUAGGGAUAACAGGCCUAAAUUUUUUAAGAGUUCACAUUAACAAAAAAAUUUGGCACCUCGAUGUUGGCUUAAGAUAAAACCUAGGUGUAGAAGUUUAGGUUUGAGGCUU
rnacentral:rRNA from 1 species